rnacentral:rRNA from 1 species
AUAAGGAAUCUGUUUACAGAUUGGUAGAGGAGCAUUGCAUACGGGAAGAAGCAGUACCGGUAAGGAGCUGUGGACUGUAUGGAAGAGAGAAUGCCGGAAUGAGUAGCGAGAUAGAGGUGGGAAUCCUCUAGGCCGAAUAUCCAAGGUUUCCAGGGUAAAGCUGAUCUGCCCUGGGUAAGUCGGGGCCUAAGGCGAGGACGAGAGUCGUAGCCGAUGGACAACAGGUGGAGAUUCCUGUACUAUGAUAUGACAGAACUGUGGGGACACGUGCAGAAAGCGGAAGCCGGGAAUGGGAUCCCGGUGCAAGCGGGGUACCGGCCAUAUUGGAAAAACCGUGUGGCAAUGGGAAGACGUGAUGCGGAGCGAAAUAAAGUAGUGAAGUCCGUGAGCUGUGCGUCAAGAAAAGCCGCUAUUGUUCAUACCAUACCCGUACCGUAAACCGACACAGGUGGAUGAGGAGAGAAUCCUAAGGCCGGCGGAAGAAGCAUUGUCAAGGAACUCGGCAAAAUGACCCCGUAACUUCGGGAAAAGGGGUGCCUGUGAAAACAGGCCGCAGAGAAUAGGCUCAAGCAACUGUUUAGCAAAAACACAGGUCUAUGCGAAACCGAAAGGUGAGGUAUAUGGGCUGACGCCUGCCCGGUGCUGGAAGGUUAAGAGGAGAGGUUAGCGCAAGCGAAGCUUUGAAUUUAAGCCCCAGUAAACGGCGGCCGUAACGAUAACGGUCCUAAGGUAGCGAAAUUCCUUGUCGGGUAAGUUCCGACCCGCACGAAAGGCGUAAUGAUUUGAGCGCUGUCUCGACAAUGCAUCCGGUGAAUUUGAAGUACCAGUGAAGAUGCUGGUUACCUGCGCCAGGACGGAAAGACCCCAUGGAGCUUUACUCCAGUUUGGUACUGGGAUCCGGUACUGCAUGUACAGGAUAGGUGGGAGGCUAAGAAGCGGUAACGCCAGUUGCCGCAGAGCCGCUGUUGGGAUACCACCCUUGCAGUAUUGGGUUUCUAACCAGCCGCCGUGAACCGGCGGUGGGACAAUGCCAGACGGGGAGUUUGACUGGGGCGGUCGCCUCCGAAAGGGUAUCGGAGGCGCCCAAAGGUUCCCUCAGAAUGGACGGAAACCAUUCGAAGAGUGCAAAGGCAGAAGGGAGCUUGACUGCGACACCGACGGGUGGAGCAGGUACGAAAGUAGGGCUUAGUGAUCCGGUGGUAUUAAGUGGGAAUGCCAUCGCUCAACGGAUAAAAGCUACCCUGGGAUAACAGGCUUAUCACUCCCAAGAGUUCACAUCGACGGAGUGGUUUGGCACCUCGAUGUCGGCUCAUCGCAUCCUGGGGCUGUAGUAGGUCCCAAGGGUUGGGCUGUUCGCCCAUUAAAGCGGUACGCGAGCUGGGUUCAGAACGUCGUGAGACAGUUCGGUCCCUAUCCGGCGUGGGCGUAGGAUAUCUGAGAGGAGCUGUCCUUAGUACGAGAGGACCGGGAUGGACGGACCGCUGGUGUACCGGUUAGACUGCCAAGUCUACGGCCGGGUAGCCAAGUCCGGAAGGGAUAAACGCUGAAGGCAUCUAGGCGUGAAGCCCCCCUCGAGAUGAGAUAUCCCAUCCGAAAGGAGUAAACCCCCUUGAAGACGACGAGGUUGAUAGGGCAGGGGUGGAAGCACGGUAAUGUGUGGAGCUGACUGCUACUAAUAGGGUGAGGGCUUGACCU